rnacentral:rRNA from 1 species
UACGGGAGGCAGCAGGGGGGAAUUUUCCCGCAAUGGGGCGAAAGCCUGACGGAGCAACGCCGCGUGAGGGAUGAAGGCCUCUGGGCUGUAAACCUCUUUUAUCAACGGAAGAAGAUCUGACGGUACUUGAUGAAUAAGCCACGGCUAAUUCCGUGCCAGCCGCCGCGG